UGCCAGAACCGGAAGUACGAGCCCGGGCUACGUUUGGUCGCUUGACAGAGAAUGUCCCCGGAAGUUGAUGUAAACAAAUAGUUUGCAGUUUUAGUUGAUGUCUCAGACUUUUUACUCUUCAGUCUGUGUCACAAUAAUCACGCUACACAUUUUCCGUGAGCAGCUAAAGAUAAUUUCCACUCGGAAGUGUUGUCACACAGUUAUAGCUUCACCCGUUUAUGCUAGCUCGUUAGCCUGCCGUUGGUUGUUAGUGUUCGCUAGCAAAGUGAAUGGACUCCUAGCCUCCGUGUAGCUAACUCAGCAACCGCUAAAGGUUGUAGUUCAUCGUUUCUGAAGUGGACACCCUGAAGAUUUGACAAGACUGCUUCCAGCGGACACAACUGAAUCAAAUCACGAACAGUAUGAGGGAUGAGGCUGUCGCCGGAUUGGCGCCAUUUUGUUUGUCGUGGAGACGAGGGACUGGCUAAAGCAGCAGGGACCGCACCUGCCUGCCGGUCACCUGCUUCUUCAUCUGAGACUGGAAAUGAGGAGAGUUAACGAUCAUUCACAUGUGGCCUCGAAGACUCCGAUGACGCCAGAAACAGCCAUUACAACAGCCGUGAAGCGGUAACGAACCAGGUGGUAUAAAUGACCCUCCAACGAGAUGAAGACCAGGGACUCCCUGCCAGCCCCUUCAGGUCAGUGGUUGGAUGUGUCAGCUUCCUCUGUUUGCCUCAGAGCGCCACCUUCACCGGACGGUGUUUUUAUCCCUCCCGUGAGCUUUAAUCCAAUCUGCAGACCGAGCGCUCUACAUCUGUAUCAGAUCUGCUGACUGACAUCUGGUUUGUGUUUUCGGUCAGCUAACUUGAUUUAUAUAAUAAAAUAGAAGCUCUGAUCGAAGCCUGGAGGACUUGUACAGUAGACGAUCUUAGCAGUAUUAAGCUGUUGGAGAACCCCAAACCUGUUGAGUUUUAGGGUCAAAUCGAAGCUUCCUUUUGUUUCUCUUUAUAAAGAUUAGUGUUUUUCUUAGAAAUUGGUUGCACGCACUGGUUACAAUUCAGCUACGAAGGUGCUGACAGCAGCCUCCUUUUCAAAACAUCACCUCCGAGACCUAAACCAGUCCUUCACGUCAGAGACACUAAUAGAAUUUCUUUUACACAUAAAACAGAGUUUUAAAACCGUCUAGGACGCAUAUUUUUCUGGAGGUCAGAGCUGAUAGUCAAAACUGAACCUGAAUUUUCCCGCAUGUCUCCACAAAAUCCUAACGUCAAACUCCUCAGACAGAAAACCUCUGUGUACUUCUGUUCAAGGACGGAUUUCAUGUCAGUAUGUUGAGCUGCAGUUUAUUUUAAUGAUUUGAAUUGUUUUAUUUUCUGAAUUUCCCACCAAAGACGAUCUUCAGUAACAUAAAAACCAAAUAGAAUUAAAACGAUCUUUUGGUUGUGGAUUGUGGCGUCCCUCUGUUGCUCGUUAGUUUAGACAUCUCAUUCUUUCCGAGAGAAGGCCUUAAUGCCUGAAACGCACAAACAUAUUUGUACUGUUGCUGUGAUUCAAACAGCCAUGAUUAAUUAAAGGCUACUUAACUCAUUAGCCUCUCAAAUACCUCAGACUUUUUCCAUGAUUCUGAGCGUGAGACCUGUCUGGAUCUGUGUGUCAGGUAAUUGCGCACCUGGUUUGAUUGAGACCUGGAUUUAUUUAGUGUUGAUUAAAUAAAGGGUACAAAGAAAUAAGUUAAAAUGAGAAGAAGAAUGCACAAAUCACUUGGUGAUUACGGUCCGUAGGGCUUAUUAUUAACCUGGAGGAUUCAGACAGCUCACCUUUUCCCGAAAGUCAUUUUCAACCAUGGAGCCUCGUAAUCAACCAUCAGUCUGCUUCCUCCUGGACGGAAACGGUUUGCCCAAUCCUUGACCAAAUUGUCUGCUCGUUGUGAGGACAGUAAGUCAUAAAAUCAGACAACAGGAGGUCAGAUUGAAGGUGAACACACCUGAGACGUCCAAUAAAUCCCUUCAGAGAAACUGUGGCUGUGUCUCAAUUCAGGGUUUGCAUCCUUCGAAGGACCCGGCCUUUGUGGUCUUCGAAGGCGAGUCCUUCUGAGAGACCUUGUUAACCUCGUCAGCUGUUGUUAAAUAGGACGGUCUAGGCUUUGGAGCAAUUGCGUCACCAGAUGUUUUACCCUUACGUCACGGUGUUUACUGCCCAAGCCCACGAAAGUGACGGGAAACACAGGGAAGACAAGGCCACCUUUAGAGGAGCCUUUGGACUGGGACAGCCUGACCUUGAAAUGCUCCUCCGAAGGAUGCAGACCCUGAAUUGAGACACAACAGGUACUUGUGCACAGCUACAGCAAGUGCACUGUGACAAGUCUUUAUCUAAACUGAGCUAUGUUCAGGAUACUCAUUUACCAAAUGACAACAUGGAAGAGAAAACAAUCCAGAGUCAACAUGUUUUUAUUUUUCAUCGUCAAACUCGACAGUUUCAACAUCACUCCCAUCGUUUACAGGCAGUUGAACUCAACACUUCAGACUGUAACCGUUUGAACCAUGGCCACCACUUCAACUUCAUCCUGAUUGGCUACAGUGGAAAAAUUAAAAAGGAACUCGAGGGGGGGGGCCGCCGCACAAGAUUUGGCCCUUCAAGUCAAUUAAAUAAAUCACAAUUAAAAAGGAUAUAAAAUGAGGCAACAGAAAAGAAUAAGACUAUUUUCAGACGUCAGGCAGAAACAUGAUGUGCUUUGGUGGUUGCUUUGGCAGCAGUAAGCGUCUUUACUCUCUACCGAUCAACCCGGAUCAUUCUGUCAACACACCGAGCACUUCAUGAGCAUCUCCGGUUUUCAUUGGCAUUAACACACUGGAAUAAGGCUGCUGUACACUAAACCGUUCGCCUCGAUUCGUGAAAGAUGCCACCUGGCGCCGCAACAUGACGGACAGAAGAGCUCAGAUACAAAAAGCAUCAGGGUUCAUUUUAUUCCAUAAGUGGAGGGAAUGACACAAACAACAAGAGGAAUUCUCUUUAACAGCCACAGUAGCACUUGAUGGUGUUUCAGAAGAGUAUCGACGAGGAAGAGAGAGGAGAGAAAGCCGAGAGCUGAAGAUAUUGGCGUGUCAGCGCAGAAGAAGAUGGAGACGAGACAAACUACAACGUUUUCAGUUGUAAUACAGUGUUGAGGUUUUUUGAUGCCACUUUUUGUUUGGAAGAUUCGGUUUGAUCCGUCUUUGUAAAAGCAGAACAAAGUGUUGCAUCCAAACAAAUCACAUUGAUUAACACAGGCUGUAACUUGAAAAAAAAAAAAA